rnacentral:rRNA from 1 species
GACGAACGCUGGCGGCGUGCCUAAUACAUGCAAGUAGAACGCUGAAGCGAGGAGCUUGCUCUUCUUGGAUGAGUUGCGAACGGGUGAGUAACGCGUAGGUAACCUGCCUGGUAGCGGGGGAUAACUAUUGGAAACGAUAGCUAAUACCGCAUAAAAUGGAUUAUCGCAUGAUAAUCCAUUGAAAGGUGCAAAUGCAUCACUACAAGAUGGACCUGCGUUGUAUUAGCUAGUAGGUGGGGUAACGGCUCACCUAGGCGACGAUACAUAGCCGACCUGAGAGGGUGAGCGGCCAAACUGGGACUGAGACACGGCCCAGACUCCUACGGGAGGCAGCAGUAGGGAAUCUUCGGCAAUGGAAGGAAGUCUGACCGAGCAACGCCGCGUGAGUGAAGAAGGUUUUCGGAUCGUAAAGCUCUGUUGUAAGAGAAGAACGAGUGUGAGAGUGGAAAGUUCACACUGUGACGGUAUCUUACCAGAAAGGGACGGCUAACUACGUG